CUAACCUUGCUGGGGUGCCUAAUGGCUGAGAUUUACCCAUGAACCUGAUCCGGAUAAUACCGGCGUAGGAAGCUAGGUUUGUUUAUUU
rnacentral:ncRNA from 2 species